UACGUAGGUGGCAAGCGUUGUCCGGAUUUACUGGGCGUAAAGAGCGCGCAGGCGGUCGUUCAAGUCGCGUGUGAAAGCCCCCGGCUCAACUGGGGAGGGUCACGCGAUACUGAUCGACUCGAAGGCAGGAGAGGGUAGUGGAAUUCCCGGUGUAGUGGUGAAAUGCGUAGAUAUCGGGAGGAACACCAGCGGCGAAGGCGACUUCCUGGCCUGUUCUUGACGCUGAGGCGCGAAAGCCAGGGGAGCAAACGGG
rnacentral:rRNA from 1 species